rnacentral:rRNA from 1 species
UACAGAGGUCCCGAGCGUUGUCCGGAUUUAUUGGGCGUAAAGAGCUCGUAGGCGGCUUGUUGCGUCGACUGUGAAAACCCGCGGCUUAACCGCGGGCUUGCAGUUGAUACGGGCAGGCUAGAGUUCGGUAGGGGAGACUGGAAUUCCUGGUGUAGCGGUGAAAUGCGCAGAUAUCAGGAGGAACACCGGUGGCGAAGGCGGGUCUCUGGGCCGAUACUGACGCUGAGGAGCGAAAGCGUGGGGAGCGAACAGG